rnacentral:rRNA from 1 species
UACCAGCACCCCGAGUGGUCGGGACGUUUAUUGGCCUAAAGCAUCCGUAGCCGGUUCUACAAGUCUUCCGUUAAAUCCACCUGCUUAACAGAUGGGCUGCGGAAGAUACUAUAGAGCUAGGAGGCGGGAGAGGCAAGCGGUACUCGAUGGGUAGGGGUAAAAAUCCGUUGAUCCAUUGAAGACCACCAGUGGCGAAGGCGGCUUGCCAGAACGCGCUCGGACGGUGAGGGGAUGAA